rnacentral:rRNA from 1 species
UACGUAGGGGGCUAGCGUUGUCCGGAUUUAUUGGGCGUAAAGAGCGUGUAGGCGGCCAGGUAGGUCUGCUGUGAAAACUCGAGGCUCAACCUCGAGACGUCGGCGGAAACCAUCUGGCUAGAGUCCGGAAGAGGAGAGUGGAAUUCCUGGUGUAGCGGUGAAAUGCGUAGAUAUCGGAAGGAAGACCAGUGGCGAAGGCGAAUCUCUGGACAGUUACUGACACUGAGGCACGAAGGCCAGGGGAGCAAACGGG